rnacentral:lncRNA from 1 species
CUUCUUCUUCCAGGUUCUUCCUCCUUCUCCUUCUCCUUCUUCUUUUCUUCUUCUUCUCCUCUUCCUUCUUCUCCUCCUCCUCAUCCUCCUCCUUCUAUUACUUCUUCUUCUCUUUCUCUUCUUCUACGUAGCUUAGACUCAUCCAAGAAAGGCUAAAUUGGCUAAUUAUCCUACGAAAUGACAUAAUUAGCUUAGUUAGCUCCAAAAUGACAUAUUUAAUAAAAAAA